GGUGUCUAUUUUUGUCUAACUUGUGGAGUAAGACUUAUGGACAGGUACAAAAAAUAGAUCCCCUUUUGGAACCUAGGGCUUAUUGUUUAGUAUGAAUUUUGAUGCAUAUAAGAAAGAACACU
rnacentral:snoRNA from 1 species